rnacentral:rRNA from 1 species
AUUGAACGCUGGCGGCAGGCCUAACACAUGCAAGUCGAGCGAGCGGCGGACGGGAGAGUAAUGUCUGGGACACUGCCUGUGGGAGGGGGAUAACUAAUGGAAACGGUAGCUAAUACCGAAUACCAUCACGUGUGCCCAGACGUGCUUAGAUAGUAGGUGGGGUAAUAGGUCACCUAGGCGACGACCCCUAGCUGGUCUGAGAGGAUGACCAGCAACACUGGAACUGGGACACGGUCCAGACUCCUACGGGAGGCAGCGGGUGGGAAUAUUGCACAAUGGGCGCAAGCCGUAUGCAGCCAUGCCGCGUGUGUGAAGAGGUCCUUCGGGUUGUAAAGCACUUUCAGCGAGGAGGCGUUACUCGCAGAAGAAGCACCGGCUAACUCCGUGCCAGCCGCCGCGGUAAUUC